AUACGGAGGAUGCGAGCGUUAUCCGGAUUUAUUGGGUUUAAAGGGAGCGUAGGUGGGAUAUUAAGUCCGCUGUGAAAGUUUGGGGCUCAACCUUAAAAUUGCAGUUGAUACUGGUUUCCUUGAGUACGGUAUAGGUGGGCGGAAUUCGUGGUGUAGCGGUGAAAUGCUUAGAUAUCACGAAGAACUCCGAUCGCGAAGGCAGCUCACCGGGCCGGAACUGACACUGAUGCUCGAAAGUGCGGGUAUCAAACAGGAUUAGAUACCCUGGUAGUCCGCACAGUAAACGAUGAAUACUCGCUGUUUGCGAUACACUGUAAGCGGCCAAGCGAAAGCGUUAAGUAUUCCACCUGGGGAGUACGCCGGCAACGGUGAAACUCAAAUGAAUUGGCGGGG
rnacentral:rRNA from 1 species